AGGGGGAGGCGGGUCCCGAGCCCUGGGCUGCGGGGCCAUCUCCGCGUCUCUGCUGCUCUCCAGGCUUCUCGGGAAACGCUGCUUUAUGCGGUUAAGUUUAUGAAGAGGAGGAAUCUCAAAAAGCUGCUGAAGGAGCAGAAACUGUGGAAGUUCAGCAAGUGCCUGAUCUGCACUUGCUGGGCAGCCCUGUUUUACACCAAGGACCUGGGAAACAAUUCCCAGCAACUGGGAAAAUCUGAGGUCAUCCAUCCACUCAGAGCAUCGACAGUCUUAUUUGCCUGUGGUAUCUUUCUGCUUGGUAAAAACAUCUUCUUGUUUGAGGCAGACAUCAGCUGUGUGCCCAUGAACAGGCAGUGCCACUUGUGCCCUGAGGUGCCCAGCUGGGAUUGGAUCUCUCCAAGAGCACCUGAGGGAGAGCAGAGCACCUUGCAAGCUGCAGGUCCCUGACAGCCCUGCAGAGCUCCUGCCCCAUCAACAUCUGCUCUGCUCCAGUCUGAAACAGGGUCCAGCAUGGUGCUGGGAUCAUCAGA